UACGGGGGGGGCAAGCGUUGUUCGGAAUUACUGGGCGUAAAGGGUUUGUAGGUGGCUUGUUAAGUCAGACGUGAAAUCCCUCAGCUUAGCUGGGGAACUGCGUCUGAGACUGGUGAGCUUGAGUGCAGGAGAGGAACGCGGAAUUCCAGGUGUAGCGGUGAAAUGCGUAGAUAUCGGGAGGAACACCAGUGGCGAAGGCGACUACCUGGCCUGUUCUUGACGCUGAGGCGCGAAAGCUAGGGGAGCAAACGGG
rnacentral:rRNA from 1 species